rnacentral:rRNA from 1 species
CCUGGUGAUUAUAGAAAGAGGGCUACACCUGUUCCCAUUCCGAACACAGAAGUUAAGACUCUUAUCGCCAAUGGUACUGCACGGGUAGCUGUGUGGGAGAGUAGGACGUUGCCGGGU